rnacentral:rRNA from 1 species
ACUGCUCAGUAACACGUGGAUAACCUGCCCUUGGGUCCGGCAUAACCCCGGGAAACUGGGGAUAAUUCCGGAUAACGCACAUAUGCUGGAAUGCUUUAUGCGUAAAAUGGAUUCGUCUGCCCAAGGAUGGGUCUGCGGCCUAUCAGGUAGUAGUGGGUGUAAUGUACCUACUAGCCAACAACGGGUACGGGUUGUGAGAGCAAGAGCCCGGAGAUGGAUUCUGAGACAUGAAUCCAGGCCCUACGGGGCGCAGCAGGCGCGAAAACUUUACAAUGCGGGAAACCGUGAUAAGGGGACACCGAGUGCCAGCAUCAUAUGCUGGCUGUCCAGGUGUGUAAAAUACACCUGUUAGCAAGGGCCGGGCAAGACCGGUGCCAGCCGCCGCGGUAACACCGGCGGCCCGAGUGGUGAUCGUGAUUAUUGGGUCUAAAGGGUCCGUAGCCGGUUUGGUCAGUCCUCCGGGAAAUCUGAUAGCUCAACUAUUAGGCUUUCGGGGGAUACUGCCAGGCUUGGAACCGGGAGAGGUAAGAGGUACUACAGGGGUAGGAGUGAAAUCUUGUAAUCCCUGUGGGACCACCUGUGGCGAAGGCGUCUUACCAGAACGGGUUCGACGGUGAGGGACGAAAGCUGGGGGCACGAACCGGAUUAGAUACCCGGGUAGUCCCAGCCGUAAACGAUGCUCGCUAGGUGUCAGGCAUGGCGCGACCGUGUCUGGUGCCGCAGGGAAACCGUGAAGCGAGCCACCUGGGAAGUACGGCCGCAAGGCUGAAACUUAAAGGAAUUGGCGGGGGAGCAC